UAGCUGCGAGCGACAGGUGAGAGCCCAUCACUGAAUCUCGGGGGCUUAGCCCUCUGUGAAAUGUAGUGUUUGGGAGAAUUCAUAUACCUGAUACCGUCGCAUUGCGUCCAAGUCCAUCUUGAAGGAGGCCACGGUCCCGAGAGGGUGCCAGGCCCGUGGAAGGCCAUUGCUGGUGUUGGGUGAACAUCUCCUCAGAGUCAGGUUGCUUGAGAGUGCAGCCCCAAGUGGGUGGUAAACUCCAUCUAAGGCUAAAUACAACCACGAGACCGAUAGCGAACAAGUACCGUGAGGGAAAGUUGAAAAGAACUUUGAAGAGAGAGUUCAAGAGUACGUGAAACCGCUCAGGGGUAAACGGAAAAGACCCGAAAUUUCUGAAGAGGGAGAUUCACGUCUUCUCGCAGGUUGACGCCAUGCUUCUCGUCGACGGCCUUGCUCUCGUGCCGGACCCGUCCGGUGCGUUGUGGUGGGGUUGCAGAGAGUGUGGUGAACGCUUGCGGCGGACCGCACUUCUCCCUUGGUAAGACGUCGUGACCCGUCCGGCCAUGGUCUUACGGUCAUGGGGUGGAGCCUGUUGAAUUCGUACUUGUUGCGUUUUCGGCAGACCCUCGUGUCCCGGCCAUGGUGUUUUUCCGGUCGGUAUCAGAUGACAAGUGUGUAGCCGCUUUCCAAUUGGGGCAACCCUAUAGAAGAGCGCGUGAUAUGAGUCCCGAACAAGGUGCUCUGUAGACUAACGGUCACGGCAGACGUUGUCUGCCCGGCCGCUGCAGGCUCUGUUGGUUCGGUGUGCUCUUCCGCAGGCUGGUUUCUCACGAAAUCGAUCACACCCGUGUCUACGGCGAAUCAGUUUUGGGCUCUUGUCCGACCCGUCUUGAAACACGGACCAAGGAGUUUAGCGUGUGCGCAAGUCAUUGGGUCGAAUGAAACCUAAAGGCGAAAUGAAAGUGAAGGAAACUUCACGUUUCUGAGGGAAGAUGAGUCGGUUACCCGCAAGGGGCCAUUCCGCACUCCCGGGGCGUCUCUAUCUCAUUGUGAGACGAGGCGCACCCAGAGCGCACACGCUGAUACCCGAAAGAUGGUGAACUAUGCCUGGCCAGGACGAAGCCAGGGGAAACCCUGGUGGAGGUCCGUAGCGAUUCUGACGUGCAAAUCGAUCGUCGGAGCUGGGUAUAGGGGCGAAAGACCAAUCGAACCAUCUAGUAGCUGGUUCCCUCUGAAGUUUCCCUCAGGAUAGCUUGCGCUCGGACGAGACGAGUCUCAUCCGGUAGAGCGAAUGAUUAGAGGCCUUGGGGUCGAAACGACCUCAACCUAUUCUCAAACUCCAAAUAGAUGAGAACCCCGGCUUUCUUGAAUUCUAUUCUAUGAAGCCGCGGGAUUCGGAUCAGAGUGCCAAGUGGGCCAAUUUUGGUAAGCAGAACUGGCGCUGUGGGAUGAACCAAACGUCGAGUUAAGGCGCAUAAAUCGACGCUCAUGCGAAACCAUGAAAGGCGUUGGUUGCUUAAGACAGCAGGACGGUGGCCAUGGAAGUCGGAAUCCGCUAAGGAGUGUGUAACAACUCACCUGCCGAAGCAACUAGCCCUGAAAAUGGAUGGCGCUGUAGCGUCGUGCCUAUACUCGACCGUCAACGGCAAAACUAAGACGGGAACCUUCGGGCUCUGGUCUGUUACGCCUUGACGAGUAAGAGGGCCGCGGCGACGUGCGUAGAAGGGUCUGGGCGUAAGCCUGCCUGGAGCCGUCGUCGGUGCAGAUCUUGGUGGUAGUAGCAAAUACUCCAGCGAGGCCCUGGAGGACUGAUGUGGAGAAGGGUUUCUUGUGAACAGCUGUUGCACAAGAGUCAGUCGAUCCUAAGCCCUAGGAGAAAUCUGAAAUGAUGGGUUGUCGUUCUUUUGGAAGGCACCCGUUCGGGCGAAAGGGAAUCCGGUUCCUAUUCCGGAACCUGGCAGUGGAACCGUUUCAAAUCGGGCCCUCUGAGGACUCGUCAGGGUAACCUGAAUAGACCCGGAGACGCCGUCAGGAGGUUGGGAGAGAGUUGUCUCUUCUCUAUAAGCGAUCGAGUUCCCUGGAAACUUCUAGCAAGGAGAUAGGGUUUGGAUCGCGAAGAGCACUGCAGUUACGGCAGUGUCCCAAUCUUCCUCUCGGACCUUGAAAAUCCGGGUGAGGGCCACGAGGAACCCCACGCCAGAUCGUACCCAUAUCCGCAG
rnacentral:rRNA from 2 species